rnacentral:rRNA from 1 species
ACCGUUGMUAAGCUCGUAGUUGGAUUUCGGAGGUCCUUAGCAAUCCGCCCCUUCGGGGAGCGGGUUGCUGGCCUCCUAUGUUCCUAACGGUCCUCGUCCGCGAGGGCGGGGAAUCAACCGCUAGGAUCGUUUACUUUGAGGAAAUUAGAGUGUUCAAAGCAGGCGUAACUCGCCUCCGAAUACGUUAGCAUGGGAUAAUGGAAUACGACUUCGGUCUUGUUUCGUUGGUUUCGCUUGGCUGAAGUAAUGAUUGAUAGGGACAGUUGGGGGCAUUAGUAUUUAGUUGUCAGAGGUGAAAUUCUAGGAUUUACUAAAGACUGACCAAUGCGAAAGCAUUUGCCAAGGAUGUUUUCAUUAAUCAAGAACGAAAGUAGGGGGAUCGAAGACGAUCAGAUACCGUCGUAGUCUCUACCGUAAACUAUGCCGACCAGGGAUCCGGAGAGUUUGCAUGGAUGACUCCCCGGGCACCUUGUGAGAAAUCAUAAGUGUUUGGGUUUUGGGGGGAGUA